UACGAAGGGUGCAAACGUUGCUCGGAAUUAUUGGGCGUAAAGCGCACGUAGGCGGCUCCGCAAGUCGGAUGUGAAAUCCCUCGGCUCAACCAAGGAAGUGCAUCCGAAACUGCGAAGCUUGAGUACUAAAGAGGAUCGCGGAAUUCCCGGUGUAGAGGUGAAAUUCGUAGAUAUCGGGAGGAACACCAGUGGCGAAGGCGGGUCUCUGGACAGUUCCUGACGCUGAGGCACGAAGGCCAGGGGAGCAAACGGG
rnacentral:rRNA from 1 species